rnacentral:lncRNA from 1 species
UAGAAAACAACCAACCCGAGGUAGAUCGCUGCCGCAGGGGGUGGUGCUGUCGUCGGAGUACGGCGGAGCCGCCAUGCUGGAUUUCUGAAAUUGGCUGAGUAGGCCCUGGGACUAAUUUUUGGAUUUAUUUGGGACACUUGUAGGUACUAUAAGCGCGUUUUAGUUUUCGAAGGAAAAUUUAAGGAACCUAGGGACCACCUGUAGGCCCAGUAACCAUCUAGUUUUCAGCGUCGAAUCAAGUAAGGAUCCCUCACUCUAUUUCCUAUCAUGGAAUUAAAGUUCAAAUAAAUAAUAAUAUGGUCCUUUGUACAAAUUACAUGGAU